CGUGAGGCGAUGGGGGGGGAGGUGAUGGUGGCGGUGGUGCCCGGGCCCUCCUCCCUUCCACUCCAGCCGCAGGGGGCUCCGCGGUGACUCAGCGCCGUCCCCCUAGGAGCGGGGGCGGUGGGUGUCCUCAGAGGGCUGAGGGGGGGCUCAGGCUGCCGGCUUCCCUCCCGCUUUCCCGCAGAGGUCCGGCGCAGCCCCCCGGUGACCUGCCGUGUGCCAGCCCGCGGCCUCCGCGCGACCUGAGCCAAUGCUAGAUCUGGAGGUGGUGCCCGAGCGGUCUCUGGGAAACGAACAAUGGGAGUUCACCUUGGGAAUGCCAUUGGCUCAGGCUGUAGCAAUUCUUCAGAAACACUGUCGCAUUAUCAAAAACGUCCAAGUUCUCUACAGCGAGCAGUCACCUCUUAGCCAUGACCUCAUCCUUAACCUGACUCAGGAUGGAAUCAAACUGCUGUUUGAUGCUUUCAAUCAGAGACUUAAGGUGAUUGAAGUUUAUGACUUGACUAAGGUGAAGUUAAAAUAUUGUGGUGUCCAUUUUAACUCUCAGGCAAUUGCUCCAACCAUAGAACAAAUUGAUCAGUCAUUUGGAGCAACACAUCCAGGAGUGUAUAAUUCAGCUGAGCAGCUCUUUCACCUCAAUUUCAGAGGACUGUCGUUUUCUUUUCAGUUGGACUCCUGGACUGAAACGCCGAAGUACGAGCCGAACUUUGCCCAUGGUCUGGCCUCUCUGCAGAUUCCCCACGGCGCGACUGUGAAGCGGAUGUACAUCUACAGUGGAAACAGUCUGCAGGAUACCAAGGCUCCCUUGAUGCCUCUCAGCUGUUUCCUUGGCAAUGUGUAUGCUGAGAACGUUGACGUUCUGAGAGAUGGAACUGGACCCUCAGGUUUACGGCUUCGCCUACUCACUGCAGGUUGUGGCCCGGGUGUUUUAGCCGAUGCCAAGAUGCGGGUACUUGAGCGCUGUGUGUACUUCGGUGAUUCGUGCCAGGAUGUGCUGAGCACCUUGGGGUCUCCACACAAAGUCUUCUACAAGUCUGAAGAUAAGAUGAAAAUCCAUUCCCCCUCGCCCCAUAAGCAGGUCCCAUCAAAGUGCAAUGACUACUUCUUCAACUAUUUCACGCUCGGAGUGGAUAUUCUCUUUGAUGCAAACACUCACAAGGUGAAGAAAUUUGUCCUGCAUACAAAUUAUCCUGGCCAUUACAACUUCAACAUUUACCAUCGCUGUGAAUUCAAGAUUCCACUAGUCAUUAAGCGAGACAGUGCAGAUUCACAGACAGAAACGUGUACAACGUACAGCAAGUGGGACAGUAUUCAGGAUCUUCUGGGGCACCCUGUGGAGAAGCCAGUGGUACUUCACAGGUCAUCAUCUCCAAACAACACCAACCCAUUUGGGUCAACCUUUUGCUUUGGACUGCAACGAAUGAUCUUUGAGGUGAUGCAGAAUAAUCACAUAGCUUCCGUUACUCUGUACGGCCCCACACGGCCCAGCAGCCAGUUGAGGACAUCGGACCUUCCCCACCUUUCCACCCAGGAGCAGUGUGGAGGGGAAAUUCUCUCAACCCUUCAUCAUGGGGCAUGGAACUGUUGCUGGAGGAAAGCAGCUUAGGUGCCUGUGCCGUCGUGUAUUCCUCUCUGUUGCCCUCAUCCUAUGCAGCACAGACCUGAAGAGACUGUCCCCCGCCUUCUCAGCUGGCAGAAGGGGGAAAUGGAAGAGGGGCACGUAAUGACUGCAAGAGUUAGAAGCACAAACUCUCUGAGCCUUGGAGCAUCUGGAAGCAGCUGAUGCAGUACGUUGUCCAAAGAAGCAGUAUGAAAACUAACAUAACUUGCAAUCUGUUCCCUAGUAGAUACAUGAAAAAUGCAGGUACAUGACAAAUUUUUGCCCUGAAGUGGAAAAGGAAAGUCUUUCAACUAUGUCCUUUCCCAGUAAAGGCUCCAGAGGAGCUGCAGGAGGAGAUAAAUUCUUGAUGGGACGAUUUGAGUAAUGGCUCUGCAGAUUCUACCAAUAUCCUGCUCUCAAGCAUAUUGAGAAGUGUGAGCUCAGGACUGCUGCUAGAAUGUGCACCUCAGGACUUAGGACAGGAUGUCAGCAGCUACCCAAGCAUUUCAUUCGUUUACACCUAAUAGCAUCGAUUGUUGUGCCCUUCUUGGAGAUGAAGUUGAUGUUUUCUCCCAUAUUCAGGCCUGCAAGCAGUUCCUGGGCUCCUGAGGUGUAUGUUCUCCUUGGAGGAUUCAAGUUGAACUUGAAUACCAUGUUCUCUACCUAUGUGAGUUUUAGCUGAACUAAUGAAGUCCCUGUUUAAACAUUUUAUCUGCCAAACCUUAUAUCCAAGGCUUGUGUUUUGUUUGUGGGGAUGUAUAUCUUUCCAGCAUACAGAAUUCUUCCUUUUCCUGAUAUGGGAACAGUGACUGCUUGAAACAGCAGGAAAGGUAAGCAGGAGUUUGGGAAGGAGUCACUUACUGUGGAGUGAGAUACUGUUACAACAGUGACUUGUGUUCUGGACUGCACUGUAAUGUUUUAACAGAACCUCCUCUCUUUCAUGCCCUGAUUAAUUCUCCUUUAAAUGUUACUAGUUUGGUCACUUGAAAGUGUUGCAUAUUGCAGUUUUGGAAGCUGCUUUUAAAUGCCUUAAAGCUUCCCACCCACGCUCUGUGUUCUGCUCAGUCCCUAAGUUUCAUUCCUGUAUUAAUAUCCUUCAGAGACACUUGUUGUAAAUGCCAGUCAGUGAAAAAGAAACACCCCAAAACAAGCCAAGCCCUGCCUGCUCAUGCAGUGAGGAGGCCAAUCAGGUCUUUAGAACAGUCUGAAUUGCUGUUUGUCCCUCUGCUCAUCUCUCUUUGCAAAACUGUACCCCCAAAAUCCCACAUUUGCCCAGUUCCUGGCUGAGGAGCUCUGUGGCACCCACAAGUUCAGGGGCUACUAAGAUUAUUUCACUCUUUUCUUCUCCUUCUAUGGCUUCAGGGAUCCUGUGAGUGUCUUAAUAUCACCCUUUUAUUCCCACCCAGCUUAGUCAGACCCCGCUGAGGACAGAGCCGUUGGGAUGUGUUGGUUUGUGGUUUCUGACUGGGAAAGGGAGGGGGAGGGAGGAAAUCUGUGAGCUGGGUUUGGCUGUGCUGGAGAGAGCACUGGGCUGGCCAGGACUGGUGGGGGAGCUGUCUGCUGCAUUUGGAAGGACUCUGAUGCACUCAUCCCUUGGGCUUUAGUUUCCUCUCCCGUUUCUCAGUAUGGUUCAGGUUUCUUUUUUGCUGGCCAUAAGCCUAGAAAAUCAUCACAAAGUGGAUUUGAAGGAUUUACUGGUUUUGAUGAAUGUCAGUAGAGUCAGCAGCAUUGGUAAGGAGAUGUGGUGGGUUCACUCUCAGAGCUGCUGGCACAUGGGGCUCCAGCUGAAGGGUGCAGCCCGGGGGCUCAGCCGUCCAAACUGGGCGUUGGGGUAGACUUUUUUCCCCUCUGUGGUCUUUCAGCACUCUGUGGGGAACAUCCUCAGUGCUAAUGUUUAGUGAGGAGCUGUUUGAGUAUUUUGUGCUGUUUGACUUUGCAGUUGGGGUUUGUUUCUGAGAAACUUGCUGUAGCAAGAUGAAUAAUCAAACUGCAGCCAGGAAGCACAGUAUGUUAACAGUUGCUGCUUCAGAGGUGGCUUUGACUUGCUGUUUUAUGAUGUUUAAGUCAGCAGUGGCCUGACCAAAUGUUGGAUCUUGGCAUUUGCUAACUUUUUAUGUGUUUAGAGAUGCAUUUGGAGGUGCUGAAUGUGAGGUUCAAGCCAGCUCUGCUUGUUAUAUUGACCAAAUCUGGCUGCUCAUCUACAGGAGGAACAAAAUCUGUCUGUUUGUGGAUCCCUGAGAUUCAAUAAAACCUACUGUACUGACUUAGCUUCAAAUGUUUGUCUGUCUCAAGGAACUUUGCUUGCUUUCCUUACUACUGGUGGAACCCACUUAGGAGCUUUGCAUGUAUUCCUUUCUCAUCGUGGGUGAGUCCUGAAAAAAAUUGCCAAGCAAGACUUUGUAGCAAAACCCCAAGUAGUGCAUUGAGUUAGCAGUUAACAAAAGUACUCAUUCUGAAAUGGAGGGUUGGUUUUCUGAGAUACAUCAGAGAGGUCAGUAGAGGGUCCUUCCUGCCAGUCCUCACACUCACUUAGGGCUUCAGGACUUUCUGAAAAGGCCCCCCAUCUUUUAGGAAACAAUCUCUAGCCUGGGUGAAGUCAGAGACUUUCUGCCUGCCCUUGCAGUGAGCAGAAUUUAAUAAAGUGCAGGGGCUACAGCCAAAUGAAAGCUUUUAAAACCAGGUCAAAUAGGCCAUGCAGCAGAGGCUGGAAGACAAAAGCAGAUAUCUCUUUCCUUAAUAGAUAACGAGAUUUAGUAUUGAUUGGGUAAAAGAACACGAGUUAUCCCAUAGACUAAGACAACAGAGUGAACCGUUCUCUCUAGUGUCUCUGCCAGCUCUCAGGGUCUCUGCUGUCAGAAGCAGAUGCUAAACAACUACUUUGAUCUGGGGCAAAAUGCCCUCAUUAAUGGUGUGUUGCUGGUAGAUUGCAGAUCUGAAAACAUUAUAGAGAGGGAAGUCAAUGUCUGCGUCUCCGAGCCGAGGAGGAUGUUAGUGAGGACUGCUGAACCCGACUAGCUGCCUUGGAGGAGUUCAUAAGGGAAUUUCAGAAGGCUUUUAUUCUGAAGCCCUUUUGCUUGCUCCCUUCACGUGACAUCUGCAGCAAUAUGAGAAAUCUCAGCUGCUGGCUGCAGUUGGCUGUGUGCCAGGGAAGAGCACCAAGGUCUGCAGCAACCAGGCCAUGGACAACAUUUCCUUGGGUUUGAAGAAGCUCCCAAAUGUGAUGUAAGCAGCAAAAAUGCGUGGUUUUACCCCCACAAGUGAAGGUCAAAGGAUCUCUCCAGAUGCAAUCCUUCUGAAGAGCUGGAUAAGACAGUGAGAGAGAUCAGAUCCUGUCGGAUGACUCUGAGGUUUUCACUGAGUGCCAGCCAGUACAGUGUAGAGCCUGAGCUCGUGGAAUUGCCAGAAACUGGUCCCCUGAGUGCUGAGUGUGUCAGUGGGGCAGAUACUUGAACUCAGAUGUUGCUACAAGAGCAAAAUCAAGACUCAGAAGGAUCAACUUCCAAGGUCGUCUUGUCCUUCUUUUUAAGGCUCUUCAGAAGGCUGCCCAUUCCCACUUGUCUGCUUGCCUAUCUUUUUCUCAGCCAGCCUCAGCAUGCCCUUUUUUUUUCCUGUAGGCCACCCUAUCUACCCCAUAUAGAACCUCAUUUCGAUAGCUAUUAGCUGCUCCUCUCUUCUUACAAGGUCUACAGAAAGCCAUCCUGGCAGUAGUGAUUUCAUUUGAGCAUACACUAAAAGUGACUUCAUUUAUUCUAGUUACUGUGUAGUUUGGUCAUUUCUCAAUGUGUCCAGGUCAAGGUAAAAAGCUGGUAACGAUCCCUGUGUCAUUUCUCAGCCUCUAGAUCUUCUUUCCUUUCUCCCAUUAGUAACAGCUAUGUAGAAUCUGCAAGGAUUGGAUUUUGCAAUGUGCUUUUUACACACUGGGCCACUGAGCACUGCUGUAACUCUAAUAAAUAACAAUAAAUUAAA